CAGCAGCCGCGGGAAUACGAAGGGGGCUAGCGUUGCUCGGAAUGACUGGGCGUAAAGGGCGCGUAGGCGGAUUGAUCAGUCAGACGUGAAAUUCCUGGGCUCAACCUGGGGGCUGCGUUUGAGACAGUUGAUCUAGAGUUUGGAAGAGGGUCGUGGAAUUCCCAGUGUAGAGGUGAAAUUCGUAGAUAUUGGGAAGAACACCGGUGGCGAAGGCGGCGACCUGGUCCUUGACUGACGCUGAGGCGCGAAAGCGUGGGGAGCGAACAGGAUUAGAUACCCCUGUAGUCCCUGUCUCUUAUAC
rnacentral:rRNA from 1 species